CCUCUCCUUUAAUUAUAUCUCUCCUUCCUAACGUGACCUCUCUCUCUCUCGUUUCAUCUUCCACGCGAUCCGCCGCCCCUUCCUCGUUUCCUUUUCCACGCGAUCCGCCGCCACGAGCUUGACAUCCACCUUCGGUGUUGCGCCUCGGCCACCCAGCUCCAUCAAGAAGCGGCGCAUCCAUGUCCUACCCCCAUCCAUGGCCAUCAGGAGAGCAUGAGAGAUUUACGUGUGAAAGAGAAUUAGCGAGAGUGGUCGAGUACAAGCUCUUUCAGACAUGUUUUUCUUUUAUGGCCUUUCUCCAGUUGAGGGAUUUUAGGAAGGUUUGAAUACUACCAUCAGAAAAAUCAAUUAAGUUCAUUCUGAACUUUAUCUUCAGAGAAGAUGGUGCUUUUUUCCUUCAGACCGGCAUGCCAAUGCGUGAGGUGCCAUCUAUUGCCAAAUUAGUUUAUAGGAUACAUUAGAUAUUAUGGUGAUCCAUGAAAAGGUUAAGUUUCCAUUCCAGGGUGUAGGCGGUAUAAUAGUCAAUAAAUUGUAUUUAUUUGCACGUGUAAAUUGAUUGUUCAUAUGCAUAGGAAUUGGUAUAAGAGAAAAAGCAGCUUGAUUCCUGUCCCGUACUGUCCGAAGCAAUUGUUCAUAUGCAUCAAGAUAAUUGAUUCUGGCCUGAAGCAACACACACUCACACAGCUCCUGAUAUAUCUUUGCGUUGGUCGAUCCUCAUGGCUGGAAACGUACUAGUACACGCGCGCGCACAAAAACCGGCUUAUUGCCAAAAGCUCGAAUCGAGCCUGGUUCUUUUCAUCUAUUUCACCUCACUGAUUAGUAUUUACAAAGGGAUAUACAUACGUAUAUAUAUCAGCUAGGACUAACACAAGCUAACCUACUCGGUCAAGUUCUAAUACUAAAAUACUAGGUGAUUGUUUUGUGUACAACCGGUACAGCACUACACACGUCGUGGUCAUUUCCAGCAUGCUCUUUGUGUACUUUAAUUAGCUUUAGCAAAAAAACAAAAAAGUUUUUGGCACCACCGUGGAUUCUUGUUUCAUUAUAUCUUGUGUUUCCAGCUGCUCUUGACGAUAGGUGCUCUUGUCUGAUAUGAAUAAGAGAUGCAGAUGUUUGCAUUUGAAUUCAGUUAUGAUCAUUAAUAUUAGUACAUAUCUAAUUGGUAGUCCCCAUGAAAUCCAGCAUGCUCGAGUUACUUGUUCUCAUACACUAAUUUUAUCUGCUAUUAUACUUUGUGUCAAUUUAUUUAUAUGGACCGACUUUCAUAAAUCACCAAACAUUUUGUAGGACUGAUGAUCCACCUUAUAAUAUAUAGAAGAAUGAGAAGGCAUUGUAAUCGCUGAUGAAGAAUUAUGUCCAUUCAAACAACGAUGGUGCCUAUGGAUUGAAGAUUAAUAAAUAUUAUGUUUUCUAGUUGUUUGCUUUUCCAAUUAGAUAUGACAAGUACAGUGGUCAUGUAAAGAGUGCUUUUGACUCAAAUUUCUCAAAUGGUAUUUUAACUAUAUAAUUCU